UCUUCUAUCCUCUUAUAGUGUAAGUGGACAAAAUCCAUUAUAUGACCCAAAGAAUUUUUCCACUCCACCUCUUUUUCUGAAGGAAACCUGGUAUGUUGUUAAUAAGUGCUAUUUCAAUUUGUAGUUGUUUUGUAGAAAUUGAAGUCUAAUUAAUGGCCGACAUGACUUUCUUUUGUUGUUGAGCUUGUACUUGUGGAACAUGAUGACCUCCAUGAGACAAAGUUGAAAGCAACAGGUUGUCCUAUAGGUUGCCCUUUUUCCUAUCCAUCUGAUUUUUGUGGUAUCCAUGUGAUAAAAAU
rnacentral:lncRNA from 1 species